rnacentral:lncRNA from 1 species
UUGAAGCUGGAAGGGAAGAAGGAGAUGGGACAUCGACAGGUGUUGAAUCGAUUGUUGGGUAAUGAAUAGGACCUUCCUCUACGGUUUCCAUAUCCUCAUCUGCCAAUGGAGGAGCUGAUGGUGAAGGUUCAUGGACAGUGACGCUUUCAUGGCUAUUGAAACCAGAUGUGCUUGCUUUUCCUGAGGGAGUAGGAGUAGGAGGAAGAGGUGCAGAUGAUGAGGAAUCGAUUGUUGGGUAAUGAAUAGGACCUUCCUCUACAGUUUCCAUAUCCUCAUCUGCCAAUGGAGGAGCUGAUGGUGAAGGUUCAUGGACAGUAACGCUUCCAUGGCUAUUGAAACCAGAUGUGCUUGCUUUUCCUGAGGGAGGAGGAGUAGGAGGAAGAGGUGCAGAUGAUGAACUUGCUUCACCUAUGGAAUGGUGAUUGAUAUCUGGUGUGUCACUCAUAGCAGGAUGAAGUGGUGGCGCAGAAGGUGCAGUUUGGAGAAAGACUGGGGGAUGCGCUGGCUGUAUAAACCAAAUGAUGAGUA